CACUAAGCUAAUAUUAGCUGUGUCGGCAAAUAUAUAAUACAUGAGUAGCGAUGAUGAUGAUAAGAAGAAGAAGAAGAAACAAAUUGGAGGUGCGUGUGGCAUAGCUAAUUAAGCAUGCGAUUCUGUACCAUGUAUGGAUGAGCUGACGCAGGGUCAACUGUCAAGUCAUGGCAGCCGCCACGCUUCAUUUCUGCUGAAAUACUACUCCUGUCCUGUACUUGGUGAGGUGAUGUUGCCUCUUCCCUUCCCACGACGAUAGGAAUAGGAUGCUCUCCCCAAUUGCACCCGUUUGAAGAAGAAACUGACACCCAUGGCGUGCUCCGUGUUUCUCCUCUAUAUGUUAAAAACUGUGGCAACGGGUUGUUUUUCCUUGGAAAUUUCAAGAACAAAUGUGUUGAUAAGUAUGGUUAGUUUUUAUGUAGGUUGAUGGUAGCAUUGUUGAAGGUGGGGAAAAUUCAGAGUGCCAGGGAUCCCAGACAACACUUUCUUACCUGGUUGAGCUGGAGCCUAAGCUCUGGGUUCCAGUGAGGCUUGCUACUGGAAGGAAGGAAGGAAGGAAGGAAGGAUCUGCAGUGAGAUGAAGACCAACGAACAUUUGUUUCAAUCAGAGAGCAAGCACAGAGGACCGGUAGGAAGAGGGGGAGGUUCCACAAGAGCAAUUACACUAUUAUUAGCAAGAAAUUAGCAUCAUAAUAUUCCACUACUCACAACUGACGUCUGGCGGGCUCCUAGGCAGCAUAAUCCAAUACUUGCACGCACAAUUUCUUUGCUCCGCGCCAAAUAAAUCAUGAAAAAUGAGCAGAGAAUUCCAGAUCAAACAGCGAAGGGAGAGGAGAAGGUGCGGCGAUCGCUCCUCCGGCCUCUGGAGAACUCCAUCGGGGCGACACAACGGACGCAACCUCGAGACUAGCAAGACAAAGGAAACGCACGGAGGCCCAGAGCACGACUCGCGCCUCGGCAGGCAUGCUUCGCCACGCCCACGCGCGAACCCCGCGCGCCUUCCUCCAGCUCCUCGCCGCCCAGCCGCCGUGCCCGUCCGCCGCCGACCAGUUCCACGCGGCGGCCACCAAGCUCGGAUUUUUCGCGGCCAACGUCUUCGUUACCACCGCCCUCCUCGGCCUCUAUUGCCGCUCCCGCCGCCUCCAGGAAGCCCAGCAGCUGUUCGACCAAAUGCCUCACCGGAGCACCGUCACCUGGAACACGCUCAUCUACGGCCACGCGCAAUCCCUCCGGGCUCCCGACCUCGCCGUGGGGGCGUUCGCGCGCAUGCUGCGCGACGGUGUCGCACCCACGGCGUCGGCCGUGUCCAGCGUCCUGGUCGCGUGUGCCAAGCUGGAGGACGCGGACGUUGCCGCGAUGCUACACUCAGUUGGCCUCAGGUGUGGCGUCUCUGCCAGUGUUGUCGUGGGUACUGCCUUGGUGGAUAUGUACGCGAAAUGCCAUCAUGUCUGCGCGGCACAGAAGGCUCUUGCGGAGAUGGAAGAUAAGAACGUGGCCACUUUCACGGCACUGCUCGGUGGGUUCGCUGUAAGCGGAAAGUCCCAUGACGCCAUGUUGUUGGUCAGGGAAAUGGAGCAGACAGGAGUAGCACCAAACGUGAUGACUUACAGCAGCCUUCUCAGCUCGUUCGAGAGUCCCGACGAUGUUGAUCAUGGGAGGCAGGUGCACUGUGCACUGCUGAAGAAGGGGCUGGAGCGCAAUCGACAUGUCCUGUCGACUCUUCUCAUCAUGUACUCCAAGUUUGAUAGUUUGGAAGAUUUCAGGAGGGUACAGAUGCCCGUUUCAUGCCUGGAUCAGGUGUCGCUCAAUUCUGUCAUCUCUGGGCUCUCCUGGCUGGGAAGAGGUGAGGAGGCUUUUCAGCAGUUUGCAGAGAUGAGAAGGCAAGACGCUGACACAGAUGUCUUCACAUUUGCCAGCGUAUUGAAGGCUGUAGGGAGCUCGUCAUCAUUGCUGCAGGGAAGGCAAGUUCACGCUCUUAUUCUGAAGAUUGGAUAUGGCUCGAACCUUGAUGUCCAGAACGGCCUCAUUUCCAUGUACGCUAGGCGUGGUGCGAUUCUGGAAUCUAAGGAUGUUUUCACUUCGAUGGAAGCACCUGACUUGAUUUCUUGGAACUCACUUCUAUCAGGAUGUGCCCAACAUGGGUACGGGAGAGAGGUGGUUGACAUGUUUGAACAGAUGAGAAGGCUGAAUGUUCAGCCAGACCAUACCACCUUCUUGUCGGUGCUUACAGCUUGCAGCCAUGGUGGCUUGGUAGAUAAAGGUCUUGAAUGUCUCAAUUUGAUGAAAGAAAAGGGGUUUCUUGAGGGAGCAAGACUAGAGCACUAUGCUUGUAUGGUUGAUCUUCUUGGUCGAGCUGGGUAUCUCUCAGAAGCUGAAUCUUUGAUCAAUGAUAUGCCUAUGAAGCCUGGUUUGUCGGUAUACAGAGCUCUACUCAGUUCCUGCCUGAUUCAUGGCAACCUUGAGAUAGCGAUGCGGGUGUAUAAGCGCUUGAUUGAGCUAUAUCCCCGUGACUCAUCUGCUCACGUUCAGUUAUCAAAGGUCUUUGCUGGUGAUGGUCACUGGGAUAAUGCUGCCGAGAUCAGGGAGGCCAUGACAGGCAAAGGAAUAGUAAAGAUACCAGCUUGGAGCUGUAUUGAGGACCGAAUGCAGGCCAGCUAAGCAGGCUGUGAGUGCAAGACACAUGCCAUCCAAACCAAAUUGUCUUGCUUGCUAACUGGAGGUGACUGAAAGGUGAAGCUUUGAUGGCGAUGUGUAGUGAAGGAAGCUAACUCAGAAUUUAGCCAUAAGUGUGUUGACCUGCUGAUAAUUAUUUGAAGGAGCAAAUCAGAUGCAAUCAUAUCAUAACUAGUCUGGAUGCAAUUCAGCAGGCGCACUUCCUUAGACCGUGGGAAGAGGAGUCCAGAGAACAAAAGGUAACCAACAGGAAGCGUGCAAUCACGUCGUCAAGACCGAAUGCUUUGGUUGUAAACCAUGAAAGAGGCCGAGAACAAGACUGAAAAUGGAAAAUGAUUCCCCCUACCGUACAGUUUCAAAAAAUAAUGGAAAACGGUUGGCGUGAUGUUACAAUCCAUGUCCUGUCUGGCCGUGGGCGCUCCAAGAAACGAAUAGUUCACUUGCUACUCCAGUAAGCAAAUUAAAGGGUGGAAAUGUGUCAAGAAGGCAAGCUAGAUGUUCAUGCAUGUUGCCUGACGGCCUAGUUAUGUAUUAUGCUAUGCAGUUGGAUGUCAACUUAUGAAUCAGAUGGAGCUAGCGACCAUGGUUGGAACCUGGAAAAGAUUGUGAUUUUUCAAAGGGGGUGAAGCGGUUUGGGCCCUUUGGUUUUGGGCCAAGUGGGGGCCAGAGCGACAGCAAACUGCCUGCUUCGAUACCACCGAGACGAGACGGGAUCUAGGAAUCCUCCGCGCCACCGUCUCUUUCGUCUCUUCAGUCCCAAGGACGGAAUGGCAGCGACUAUUGCCUGGUAGUGGUAGGCAUUCGACUCUUGGGGAUGCCCGCCCCUCCGUCCUAUCUAAGCUAGCGACAUUCUUCUCCUUUCCUUCUCUUCCCCGACCCAAUCUGUUGUAUAUAUACGCCGCUGUCUGUGGGGCACUAGGUCCGUCCUUGUUCUUGUGCUUGUCGUCAUUCUUGGUUUGCUCGAUUUGCUGGGCCGCCGGGUUGUGGUUGGAUACUUGGUUUCUUGAUCUGCAUUUCGGCCGCCGUGAACCGGACCGCCGCCGGAGAUGG